CCUCCUCCAGUGAGGCGCCAAAAAGAGCAGCGAGCUGCUGAGGCUGAGCUCCAAAAAUCUCCGAAGGCCCGAUUGUCGGAUGUGUCAAGAUUGUCAUAUACUGCCCUGCAGUUCCAUUAUUGGAGACGGGACGGCGCUUUGUGUCCUCUCUCCGCCCCCUCCCCUCUCUGUCUUCAAUCAGCCUCAUCACCACCAGUGUAUAGAAGCCUGCCUGUUCCCGGAAAUCCUCGCCUAAGUGUUGCAGCCUCUCCUAGCGUGCUCCCCUGUGUUCCUGACCCACAUCAUUCCUGCCACCAAGCCAGCCGCCUGUUCUGUCCCCUGCCUGCCAACAGAUCCAGGACCACCUCCAAAACCUUUCCUCAAUAAACAGUUCAUCAUUUUACAUCUGCCGCCGCCUGCUCUUGGGUACAGCUACUCCCCACACGUGACAAAGAUUAUCCUAAGUGAUUAUCAUGCGGUAUUGAGUGUUUAAGUUAAAAGUGAUUUUUCCUCCCCAAUGUGCUAAAUAAAAUUGUUGGGACGGGCAAUUGCAGAACUAUAGGCAUAUUAUGACAAGACAGAACAACAGGUGUAUUUUUUUGGGGAGAACAUUGACCAAUUUUGGGGGGAAAGCAAAGGCUUCUUUUCCAGAAUUAAAGACAUACUAUUUCGAGAAUAAAGUUGGAUUUUAUAAAUUCACUUAUUUUAUACUGUAUAGACAUUCCCAUGUUGAACUUUGACUUCUAUAUUAUAAUUCAGUAUUAUGACCUUAUCUUGGAAAAUACAACUUUAUUCUCAUAAUAUUACAGUUUUGUUCUUGUAAAGAUUACGAUUUUUCCUUGAAAAAAGUGACUUUAUUCUCACAUCAUUGCAAUGUGUUUCUCAAAAAAAAAAAAAUUUUUUUUUUAUUGCAACAUUACUUUUUUCUUGGAAACUAGCAUUUUUUAAAGGGAUUUAGGGGUGCAUAUAUUAUAAUACAUAUUGGACUACCCUCCCACCCCCCUCCACACACACACACACACACACAAUUUCACAUACUUGAUCCAAAAAUUACAAAUAUUUAUUUAUACAUAUAAUGUAUCUUUUUUCAUCUUUCUAUGCAUGUGACAUAUACUGCAGUUACAGGCAACGCAAAUAACUGCUCUUCCACUAGAUGGCAGAUGUAACAAUUAACCCUUCACAUUUAUCUUUUUUUUUUUUUAAGUACACUAGACUGAAUAUGCUUUUUUUUUUACAUUUUUGUUUGGUGUUUCUUCUCAUAUAAAAUAUGUGCCUUGGCUCAAUAAA